rnacentral:rRNA from 1 species
CCUACGGGAGGCAGCAGUGGGGAAUAUUGGACAAUGGGGGCAACCCUGAUCCAGCAAUACCGCGUGUGUGAAGAAGGCCUGCGGGUUGUAAAGCACUUUCAAUUGUGAAGAAAAGUUCAAGGUUAAUACCCUUGGACCUUGACGUUAACUUUAGAAGAAGCACCGGCUAACUCCGUGCCAGCAGCCGCGGUAAU